rnacentral:rRNA from 1 species
GACGAACGCUGGCGGCGUGCUUAACACAUGCAAGUCGAACGGUGAAGCUCAAGCUUGCUUGGGUGGAUCAGUGGCGAACGGGUGAGUAACACGUGAGCAACCUGCCCCGGACUCUGGAAUAAGCGCUUCGAAAGAGGUGCUAAUACCGGAUACGAACUCCUUGGGCAUCCUUGGGGUUGGAAAGUUUUUCGGUCUGGGAUGGGCCCACGGCCUAUCAGCUUGUUGGUGAGGUGACGGCUCACCAAGGCGACGACGGGUAGCCGGCCUGAGAGGGCGACCGGCCACACUGGGACUGAGACACGGCCCAGACUCCUACGGGAGGCAGCAGUGGGGAAUAUUGCGCAAUGGGCGAAAGCCUGACGCAGCAACGCCGCGUGAGGGAUGACGGCCUUCGGGUUGUAAACCUCUUUCAGCAGGGAAGAAGCGAAAGUGACGGUACCUGCAGAAGAAGCACCGGCUAACUACGUGCCAGCCGCCGCGGUAA